AUUGAACGCUGGCGGCAUGCCUUACACAUGCAAGUCGAACGGCAGCGCGGGGCAACCUGGCGGCGAGUGGCGAACGGGUGAGUAAUAUAUCGGAACGUACCCUGGAGUGGGGGAUAACGUAGCGAAAGUUACGCUAAUACCGCAUACGAUCUAAGGAUGAAAGUGGGGGAUCGCAAGACCUCAUGCUCCUGGAGCGGCCGAUAUCUGAUUAGCUAGUUGGUAGGGUAAAAGCCUACCAAGGCAUCGAUCAGUAGCUGGUCUGAGAGGACGACCAGCCACACUGGAACUGAGACACGGUCCAGACUCCUACGGGAGGCAGCAGUGGGGAAUUUUGGACAAUGGGCGCAAGCCUGAUCCAGCAAUGCCGCGUGAGUGAAGAAGGCCUUCGGGUUGUAAAGCUCUUUUGUCAGGGAAGAAACAGGUCUUCUAAUAAAGAGACCUAAUGACGGUA
rnacentral:rRNA from 1 species